rnacentral:lncRNA from 10 species
CUUCCAUUUCCCUCGUGCCUCAGUGAAACUCUUCUACCCAGUGUCCCCUCACCGUGUUUUCUCCGGUUCUUUGAGUGUGCCCUUCUUAUGGCUCCUUAGUCCCUGGCCUGUAAAUGAGAUAAGUCUGUUACACUUGACUUAGAUUUUUGUCUUUUAUUGUUGAUCCUUUUCCCCAAUCUCUGGCUUUUUUUUUUUUUUUGCCCUACAUUCCUAUUCCUUACUACAAUUCCUAGCAACCAUUUUCCUAACCCUUUGCCAGAUGCAAACUUUGACAGUUGUCUUCUUAUAAGAUUCUGGAACUCAACUCCAAAGAGCCAUGGCUUAUAGGGGAGAAGGAAGAGGGCAAUGGUGCCUGCCACCUGAAGAGUAAGGCCUGCUUGUCCAGGUGAAAUCUUCCUGCACAGAGUUUAUUUGAAGGUAACAGCCUGAUCCUCUCUCAGCUCUCUCUUGGAACUCUUGGCCCAAAGAUACCUUCUUCCCAUCUCUCCAGGAGGAAGACAGACACAAAACAGCUCUUUGUUCAGAACUUGAAAACUCAGUGUCUCCUUUCACCUAAUUAGCAGGAAGUACUUUUCCACUCACUUCAUUUUCUUAUCGGAAUUUGCUAACUGGAGCUGAGUAGCUUAGUUUGCAUAUGAGGUUUGUUUAUUAAUUAACAGCCUCUAGGCCAGGUUGUCCUUCUCAUGACUUAAUAUCUAACUCAGCACUGGCGAAACCGGGAAAGAGUGCUUGCUGGUAGAUUUUCCUGUGAUGAGAAAGAUCUCCAAAGUGAUGUAACAGCUCUUGUGCCUUUGCUGGAAGUUAUCCCGAAGAUUAAGACCCUCCAAGGAGUGUAACCUGAAAUAUUUGGGGAUCCUUGACAGAGAUUGGGGAUGGGCACCACUUUGCCAGUUUGUUUUAAUAAUGAAGCGAGACAAAUGGCUUGGGACUCUAAAAGAAAAUAGUCAAAAUAUUUUUUAUUUUUUUGAGACAGUCUCACUCUGUUGCCCAGGCUGGAGUUCAGUGGCAUAAUCAUGACUCACUGUGGCCUCAACCUCCCUGGCUCAGUUGAUCCUCCCACCUCAGCUUCCCAGGUAGCUGGGACUAUAGGCAUGCAACACCAUGCCCAGUUAAUUUUUAUUUCAUUUUUUGUAGAGACAGGGUUUCAUCACAUUGCCCAAGCUGGUGUCGAGCUCCUGGGCUCAAGCAAUUCACCUGCCUUGGCCUCCCAAAGUGCUGGGAUUACAGGCGUGAGCCACUGUCCAAAAAAAAAAAAAAAAAAAAUUAUUUUGUUUUCCAACAAGCUCACUUUAUUUUCUACUCAAGAAGGCACUAAGUAAUGACCAACUGUAACCUCACUAGUUUCUCCAUUCUGUGCUAUUAGGUUGUGAUAGGCAGAAUUUUGGCCCCAAAACUUUUGCCCCCUGGUGUUACUCCUGUGGUUAUGUUAUGUUAAUUGGCAAAUGAGACUUUACAUAUGUAAUUAAGGUUACUAAUCAACUGAUCUCAAAAUAGAGAUAUUAUUUGAGUGGGUCCCAGGGAAUUAUGUGAACCCUUAACAGCAGAGCUUUCUCCUAGCUAAGGCCAGAGUAGGACAUCAGAGAGAUUCCAAGCAUGAGAAGGAGUUGAUGUGCUGUUGCAUCUGAGAAACAGGGGCCAUGUGCAAGGACCAGAGACAGGCGUCUGGGAACUAAGGGCAGCCCCCAGCUGACAGUCAGCAAAGAAACACAGGCCUCAGUCCCACAACCCACAAGGAACAGAAUUCUGCCAACAACCUGCAUGAGCUUGGAAGUGGAUUCCUCCCUGGAGAUCCAGAAAGGAACACAGCCCUGCUGGCACCUUGUCUUGGACUUUGUGAGACCCUAAGCAGAGAACCCAAUUGAG